UACGUAGGCAGCAAGCGUUGUUCGGAGUUACUGGGCGUAAAGGGUGCGUAGGCGGUUGUUUAAGUUUGGUGUGAAAUCUCCCGGCUCAACUGGGAGGGUGCGCCGAAUACUGAAUGACUCGAGUGCGGGAGAGGAGAGUGGAAUUCCUGGUGUAGCGGUGAAAUGCGCAGAUAUCGGGAGGAACACCAAUGGCGAAGGCAGCUCGCUGGGACGGUACUGACGCUGAGGCGCGAAAGCGUGGGGAG
rnacentral:rRNA from 1 species